rnacentral:pre_miRNA from 1 species
CUACUACUCCCUCCGUCCGAAAAUGCUUGUCAUUGAAAUGGAUGUAUCUAGAUGUAUUUUAGUUCUAGACACAUCCAUUUUGAUGACAAGUAAUUUCGGACGGAGGGAGUAUUAU